UACGGAGGGUGCGAGCGUUGUCCGGAAUCACUGGGCGUAAAGGGCGCGUAGGCGGCCUGAUAAGUAGGGGGUGAAAUCCUGCGGCUUAACCGCAGGGCUGCCUUCUAAACUGUCAGGCUCGAGCACAGUAGAGGCAGGUGGAAUUCCCGGUGUAGCGGUGGAAUGCGUAGAGAUCGGGAAGAACACCAAAGGCGAAGGCAGCGUCCUGGGAAGCAUCGUGACGCUCAGGUGCGAAAGCUAGGGGAGCGAACGGG
rnacentral:rRNA from 1 species